UACGUAGGGGGCAAGCGUUGUCCGGAUUUAUUGGGCGUAAAGGGCUCGUAGGCGGCCAACUAAGUCAGACGUGAAAUCCCUCGGCUUAACCGGGGAACUGCGUCUGAUACUGGAUGGCUUGAGUGUGGGAGAGGGAUGCGGAAUUCCAGGUGUAGCGGUGAAAUGCGUAGAUAUCUGGAGGAACACCGGUGGCGAAGGCGGCAUCCUGGACCACGACUGACGCUGAGUGAGCGAAAGCCAGGGGAGCAAACGGG
rnacentral:rRNA from 1 species